rnacentral:lncRNA from 1 species
UACAGUAGAAAUGGUUGAUUUCCGGGUGGCUAGUACUGUUCCAACCGACAUAAGACUGCCAAGUACAUGUGAAGAACAUACGAGUACGACCGCAAUUCUCGUAUGGGCAUAGACCUAGCUGAUUAAGUUAUCUAGCAAAGGUGGUACCUCUGUAUAGUGGUUCUUCUUAAGUCCUCGCGUAGGAGGCAAACUUACGCCGAGCAGGGUGAUUGUGAUAUUUACCGAGGUGCAGGUAAAUAUCUUGAUUAUCUCGCAAGCUGUGUGUGUAUUAUGAAAACCUGAUUGAGAUGACGGGGGUCUCUCAACCAGUUCUCUCCAAAAACCUCGGGAACGCCAGAACUCCUCUCGCUGCUGAUAACGUUACAUUCAGAGUGCAUGGGGACUAGAGUUCAUGGAACAGGUACCACUGAUGUUAGUAACCAAAAUGCUUUGCCAUGACAAGGCUAAUGUGUUUGGCACGUUAUGGAUUGCAGGUAAAGCGUACAUCUACUGCAGUAUGAAUAUUAUUAAAACUAUUCGAAUAGCCGUGCUCGCGGUUAUCGAGCAUUGGGACUCACAAUGACAUCUUGGUUAGAAACAUAAUUUCAAACUUUAUUAAAUACUGUUGCAUAUCAAACAUUUCAGGAUUUCUACUUCUUUAUUCUCAGCUUUCUGCAAUUAAACCUAGCUCUACUCAAAUAUUACCAUUUCAUACAUUUAUUAUUGAAUAUAAUAGCUUGCUGAGUACGUUGUACUCACCCUUGCUUCAACCCCCUUUUCCAGAGUCAUUUUGGAGUUCUUGCCGAAGCCGGGAGUUCAAUCAUAUAAGUUAAUCUCAUUUUAACUUAGUUCUCAAGUAUAGAUUAGAUAGAUGGUUUAAGUCUAUAGCAAAACAUUAGAGUUGAGUCAUUCUAUAGCUUCUGCUGUAAUAGUUAGCCACAAGUUUGUAAAUACCCUAUUAUUUUAUGUAAAGGAAUCUCCUUUAAAACCUUGAUCAAAUGUAUGCAAUGAAGAUCCAGAUCGUUGAACCUGUAUCAAUCUACUGAUCCAGGGCUUGAUACAGUCUAAACAUGUCGGGUUCCGAAUCAUUAGUUUCGGGGCCCGACAGGGAUAGGAUUCACGCCAAUUGUUGUAUUCCUUCGACUAUGCACCAAUGCUUAAUUCAGUGGCAAGGCGACAAGAUAGAGAUUGUACUAGCCGACAGGUCAGUUAAUGUUGCCAGUGUCGAUUUAGCUCUUUGGGAGAUGGAUGGCCUUGAUUGUUUAUCUGGAAAAGUUUGGGAUGGAGAUUUUCUAAAAGUGUCCGAUUCUGAUAUACAGCCACUUGGGUUGUGGCACUUGAAGAUGGGACUUCAGUUCCAGAACUUCUCAUAAUUCAUAUCUUUGGCGUCAACCUCAUACAAGUUACCCACUUCAUGUUAUGCGCCGAUAUCAGCUUGUCAUUACUAGGAUACCAUGCUUGCCAUCAUGAGAAUACCACGCUUGGCGUUUCCUUCCAGCUUACCACCAUAUGCUUUAGACUAUGAUAUCCCGCUUACUAAGAAUACCAUGAUUGACAACUUGCCACUAACUGUCUCAUAUUCGCUUUCCUGGUCUCCGGUGCUAGAUAUUUCCUCUAUUCAAUGCGAGGGUCGAUAACUUUGCCUUUGAAUUAUGUUUCCCAAGGGAACCAACUUGUCCCACUUGACAUGCUUUGACGUCUUCCCAAAUGACUUUACUGCUGAACUUGUUAUUGUCUGAUCGUUAUCCUGCCAAAUCUGAAGCUUCGUUGUUGGAUGUGAUUUUAAUCUGACCUCUGUAGAUUUUCCAUGAACAUAUCACUUGUUUCAUAACUGGGAAUGGCUCUCACGAACAAGCAACUCAGAUUCACUUUCUUUAUAUUCGGUUUACUUUCCACUAUUCUCUUCAUGUUGUCAUCAUUUAGCAUUCAACGUAUUCCUUUACACCUUCAGCCUUGAUGUGUUCUUUCCCGAUGGAUCGAUUGCUAGCAAAGUGCGUUGAACGAUACUAGUGCAAGUGCUUUUAUUCUAGUAGCAUCUGAUGCAGAGCCCAAGGUUGAACCGAGCUUUAGAUUCCAACUAUUCAGGUUUACUUGUUGACUUCUUGGUCAUGUCAGAAAAGUUUCCAUCCUUGUCCUCAUAGAAUCACUUCUACCUGUGGUCAUCUCGCUUACUCGCGAAUUCAUCUGCUUUGAUGACAGGGUGGCUAUUGUAGGGUCAAUUGCUAUCGGGAGUCUUCCUCGAGUGACACAAAUCAUGGUUCUCGUUAUCCUUUAUCAAUCAACUUUCGACCUACUUAUUUUCCCUGUAACCAAACAUCUUUUUCGAUCUCUUCCAUUAAUCACCUUUCGACCUUUCUCAACCAGGUACUCUUCACUCCGGGUGUUGAGGAUGCUUCUGGGGCAAUGAGGUCCUUGGGCGUGCUGUCUUUCAGAGAAACCUUGAAGUAGUUCGUCAAAAGCUAGACUGACAAUUGUUGCCUUUGAUCCGAAGAAGACACAUCUGAAACUCUUAGUCCAAACAAAUGUCUCUUUGGUUGAUCACUUGAUUUUCUUUUCUAUCUACAACUAGGUUAUUUGAUUCAUAAUAGAGUAGGAGCUCACGGAAAUGAGACUCUAGGCCUCCUUAAUCAACAACAAAACGUACACAACUCACAGCACUUGCAAUCUUAACAUGGAUCCUUCAUAAACUUGUCAAACUCAUUCAUUAUCUCAUGUUUUUCUGUUAUUACAUGAUUGACGGGGAACAGCUAUAAAACAAAAGUACUUGAACACCGAUAUAAGAGUAUUAUGGUUGCUUUUGACUAGCACUAGGCUUAACAGGUACUGCAUUUGCUCCAGUGACCACUUGGCGAUUGGUAUGUCUGCUUCCUGUAAAUUGGCGAAAAUGUGGGGGCUGAUUUUGCCUUGGUAGGGGACAGUCCCUCGAGUAAUGCCCUUCUUCUCUACAGUUGAAAUAGACUAUAACUUUUUUACGCUCGGGUUCUUCAUCUUGUACUUGAUUUCUUGGCUGCUGUGCUGGAACAUCCAAAGGUACAACGCAAAUACUGGCCUCUGUCUUGUCAACUGGUGGCUGGGGCUGAAAUUGAGCAUUGACACCUUGUGGUAGUGCACUCACUUGUAACACCAUAAAAAUUAGACCGACAAAAAAAAAAUCUAAACUCCAAAAAUAUGGGCCUUCAAAAACUUUUUGAAUAAAUUGCAUCAUGCCAAUUUUGUUCGAUUAUUUUAUUGGAUUUUGAUUUCAGAGUUUAUAAAUCGCGAAUAAUGGAUAAUUAAUUAGGAAUAAACCCUAAAACUAAACUGGCAAAGUGAAUAAUUGAAAUAUAAUUUAAAAGUAAAGAUGUGGGAGGAUAGAAAUGAAUAAAACACUGUCGCGACCGUAAUUGUGUCGAUUAAAUUUAAAUAUGACGGAAAGGGAAUUUACUCUAAUUGAAAAUCAAGUAAAUUAAAUAAAAAUAAAUUAUGAGUGCAAUUAAUCUAGAGUGGAUCCAUUGGUUGAGAUAACCCAAAUAUUGAAUAUACAUCAUUUAUGCAAAAUUUGGGAUUUAUAGACACAAAUUUACAUAAUAAAUAGGCUAAUAGGGGAUUAAAUAGGAAAUGACACUGUUCAUUGCACCCAAAGUGUUCGACAAGGUCCCCUAGCCCUGCCCCUUCCCCUGCCGUGCCCACCUCGCGCCCCGAGCCGCCGCGCGCCGUUGCCGUCGCGUCCCGUCGUCGCUCCGAGUUGCGCGCCGCCGCUGCCGCGCCGUCGCCGUCGCGUCCCGUCGUCGCUCCGAGUCGCGCGCCGCCGCUGCCGCGCCGUCGCCGCCGCCCGCGCCCCGCGCAUCGCCGCUGCCGCGCCGUCCCGUCACCGCGCCGCGCGCCCCUCGCGUCGCCGCGCCCGCGCCCCGCGCCUCGCGCCGCCGCUGCCGCGUCGUCGCCCAUCCCAUCGCCGCACCGCCGUCCCGUCGUCGUCGCGUCGCCGUUGUGGCGCCGCACGAACGUCGCGCGCCGUCUUGAGCCCCGCGCCCCGCACGCCGCUCGCCCCGCGCGCCGCUCGCCGUCGCGUCCCGCCUCGCGCCCCGCGCUGCUGCCGCGCCGCGUCGCCGUCAUCGUCACACCAAGCCGCACCGAGCCCCGCGCCGCGCCGCCCGUCGAGUCAUGAGGCCGCCCGCCCCUAUAAAAACCCCGGCCCCCUCCUCUUCCCCACCCCACACCCAUUUCCCCCCAUUCUCACCUCCUGUCCUCUACUCACUCCACCGCGCCGCCGCCUCCACGCCGCCGCGCCGCCGCAUUGAGCCGCGCGCCGCCGCUUUGAGCCACCGCGCCGCCUGUGCCACCGUCGUCUGCGUCGCCACCGCCGUCAUCGCCGUCGCCGCCGUCGGUAAGCCGCUGCCCUCCCCUCGCGUCCGCUGCCGCCACCGCCCGGGUGGGCAAGGGAGCCGAGAGAGAGAGAGGGAGAAAGGAGCCGGGAGGGAGAGAAGAGGAGAGAAAAGAAAGGAAAGAAGAAAAAGAGGAGAGAAAAGAAAGGGAAAAGAAAAAGAGGAGAGAAAAGAAAGGAAAAAGGAAAAAGGGGGGGAAAUAAAUAGGAAAAAUUAGGGGGAGAUUUAGAAUAUUUAAAAUAUUAGGAUUUAAUUAUAGGGUUAACUAAAAUCUAGUAUUUGCAAAGUAAUACUAUAAUCGUAGAUGUAUUUAAGAACUAAACGAUUAGGUGAAUUCCCAUAGAUUAUUAUAGAUUAUUUUUAGUAAUCUUUAUAAGAAAUCAAUUCGCGGUAGUAAUCUAGAUGUAAUUAAGAGCUAAAUAAUUAGAUGAAGUAUUAGGACGUAAUUUCAAAUCACAAAAUUUCUUAGGAAACACAAAAUAUCUUGGGAGGAAGAAUAAUUCCACUUCGCAAAUAAUAUAGCCGAUAUAGAAUUCGCCUCUCGCGCUCGUUUUUCAAUCCGGUCAUUAUUUGGAUUUUGUUUGAAUUCUAAUUGAAUUCAAAUUGUUCUUUCACACGUAAUUAUAGAGACCGAGGGAGCCGCGGAUCCGGGUGAAGGCCAAGACCCGCAAGACCUUGAGCAAGGCAAGUCAUCACUAUUCUUUGAACACGUUGAUCCCAAUUGCGAAAUUAAUUUUUGUUUACAAAUAAGAUUGCAUGCAAUGAUGAACAUCCUAUUUGUGAUUAUGCCAUGCCUUGAUUAUUGUUCGCAUUUAAAUCCUUGUAACCAUGAUUACGUAUGAGUCCCUAGUCGAUUAUGACAUUUGCUUAGAAAUGCUACACUAGAAUAUUGCAUAGUCAUAUUUGUCAAAUAUUAUAUGCUUGGGCAAUGUCGUAGGCUCUCCGGACCUUCCAUUAUAUUUGAGAGAUGAAGUGAAUAAUCCAAGUCAUCAAAAAAGCAUAAUGAAACAUCCGACGCCUUGAGAGAGGAAUUUUGGAGACAUUGCUAGGCCCUUAGCCUGCCAGUCAACUUCAGCCUGAGAUGUGCCCGUCAAACCACUCGAAGGCGGCGACCAGAUGUGUUACACAUUCAGGAGACUUGACAAAAAUGGCUAAAGAUCUACAACCUCUCAAAUAUUCCUAACUCAUACUCAUGUGAAUCUAGUUCCCAGGAUGUGCACUAGAUUCACACUUUCAUCUUAAGCAUGAUUAUACAUAGCAAACACAACUAAGAUGAAAGAAACUUAAGACUUACAACAACUUAAUAAUUACAUGGGCCGACCGGCCAAAUAGACUUAUUAGAGAACAACAGAAGCUUGACUACCCAAUCACAAGCACACCGACUAGGGGUUUACCCCAUUAAGUUCUCAUCCUAGAAGAAGCAAUCAGAACCCGCAUCACUCAAAGACUAAGACUAAACCUGCAAACAAAGGGUUAUAUCAACAGCAAGAGUCAGUACAUUAAACAAAUUAAUGUACUGGCAAGCACAAGUCAAUCCUACUAUACUACAUGUAAGGCAUAUAUUCAAAGGAAGGCAAUAUGUAGUUCAAUUUCAGCAUAAAGCAAGUUUUGUUUCGCAAUUCUUUUGUAAAGGAGUUGAUGCUUCAAUUAACAAAGACAAGUUUUAAGUUUCAUUAUUAACUUCUUCAUAAUUCCAUCAUAAACAAUCUCUUAUUGCCAUACUUAACAAUAAGUCAUAAUGUAUCACCACAUACACAACUCAACACAUUUAUCAAUUUCAAUCCAAUGUCACAAGAUCACAUUUUUAAAACAUAGUCUAUACUCAUGACACAUCACCAAAGCGCUCAUGACCGUGAGCACGGCUAAUCGAUUAGUUUAAAGAACUCUGCAGAGUUUGUACAGCUUUACCCACAUGAUAUGAACUCUCUAGUUUGUUUUGAGUUUGCAAGACUCCACCACACUCUUCAUGUUGAAUGUGAUCUAGAGGUCAUAACGAAGCCUUUACACUACUUAGAGCCUAGCCUUGCACCAGCACGAUACGUGUUCCUCCAUCCUAGGCAUACUUGGAAUAUACCUAGAACCGUUAAGUGGCGGGCCCACGCCUUAAACUUAACGCCGUGGUGGCGGACACGACGGGAACCCACCACGUGGCACAAUACUGUUGUAUUGGACAGACUUAGUCACCUAAACUACCACAUCGGGGCAAAUAGGAAGUUCCUCUGAAUCAUCAACUAAUUCCUCAGAAUUAUCGACUAACUCAUACACACCGGCCUACCAGAAUGCAAGGCUAGUCCUAAAUAGAUUAAUCAGCUUAGGCCAUCCCAUACUAGCACAUGUGGAUGUACGGAUAACUUUAAAUGGGUGACACAAGUUCGGUCCUUAUGGAUUUGGGCAAACACUCCCCCUAUUGGUAUGCAACUAACACCAUAUGCACACCACUUGCCGCCCAAGUAUAAAAUCACAUUUUACACAUUUUAGUUCACAAAUACCCAUCAUAUUCAUUUUAUUCCAGCAAGGGUUCAUGUAUCAAAAUUCACAUUUUAAUUAUAGAUGGAAUGAGCAUUUGCAUAUUUCUAAGCAUGGCUAAGCAAGUAGUUACACAUAGAGCAUAUAUAAACCCAUUUGAGCACAAAGAGUGUACUCUAACCAUUUCUAGGUGUUCAAACAGCAAGAGGAUCAAUUAUUCAAGGUGGGGUAUGCAGCAAAUAGGUCAUAACUACCUUAACCCAGUUUCAAAUACCGAUAUAGUCUAAGUUCACAUGCAACUUUGCAAACAAAUAUUUUCAUUCCUCAAAUCAUGGGAUUCAAUGUGUUCAAAGGAUGGGAGGAGAAAACUUGCCUUGAUCAGAGAAAUGUUAGCACCUAAUCCACUCCUUCACCGAUUAUGCAAUUAUCUAGAUAAAGGACACGAUAUACAAUUAAACACCGAAAGAGCUGAAAAUCCAAAAUGCUCUAAAAUGCAUGAUUUGUGCACAGUGGGUUGGUACUGAUCUAAAAUGAAUUUAGGUGAAAUAAUUCCUAUUUUAUUUUAUUCCAUUUGGGAGUUAUGAAUUUUAGAAGUUUUAUCGGUUUAUAGUAGUAUAGUCUUAGGUAGUGUUAUGGAAUACUUUUGUAAAGUGAUUUUUACUAGAUUAGACUUCACAGAAGUGUGGAGAUAUGUUUUCUAAGACUAACACAUUUGGUUUCACAAUUUUUGGAUUUAUAAUGAAUUCUUUAUGCAUUUUACAAGUUAUAACGUGUUAUAGGUGUAUAGUGUAUUAUAUGUUCAUGACUUUUGAGUUAUAGGUUUAGAACAUGCUACUUCCUGUUUAAGUUGAAUAAAAGGAAUAAUUUGGUUAUCUAAAACAUUUUUAGUUCACAUGUUUAUGGUCUUUACUAGUAUGGUUCAUAUUUUAUAAACUAGAGAUGCUCUAAUCUAAACUAGAAAUAUAUUAUAUUAACCUAGAAAUUGUUAUAUGAGCUAAGUUCUUCUAAUUUUAGUGGAUGGGAAUGGAACUAUGGCUUCACUGGUCAUUCAUGUUUUUAUUCUUAUACAUGUUUAUGUAUUACUUAAACAACACUAUGUGUUUAAAUUCUUAUUUCACUAAGUUAAGGUUUUGAUCUAUGUUCUCUACAAAAGGUGCCAAAUUUUAUUUUACUAUGUUCAAGAUAACUAUUUGCUGGUUCUAUAGAAACUUCAUUUCAUUUGGACUAAAAAUAAAUUUUCUACAAGUUUUACAAAUUAAAGGCUACUCUAUGUUAGUAAAUCCUUAUAUGAAUAUUUAGAGACUUUUACUACACAGCAAGUAUAUAAUCUUAUUUCAUAACUUGGAAAUACAUGUUUUAGUGAUCCUACAGAACUUAAGUUUAUUCAAAUUGAAGCUAAAUUGGGUUCUACAUGAAUUUCUAAAGUUUAGCUUAUCUAAAACUAAUCAUUAUAGAGAUAAUAGUUUUAGAGGCAUUUGAUGCAAAGUAAGUAAUUACUUUUAUUUAACCUAAUCAGAGAGUGCCUGAUGAUGAAUCUGCAGUUUUUGAGUUUGUUUCAAAAUGAGUUGAAAUGAAUUUUCUAUGUAUUUUAUAAGUUUGUACAUGUUUUAUGCAUGACUUAUCUUAGAUAAAUCUUAGAGACAUUAUUUGUACAGUGAGUGUCAAGUUUUAUAUUCCUGGAAUAAAGUUCAUAACUUCAAGAAUCUACAGCAGCUGGAAUCACUUCAAAAUGAGCUAUAUUUGAUUUUAUAUAGAUUUUUCAACUUUGUGCAUUUUUCUGCUAAACAUAUAUUUGUUUGGGCAUUUUCCUAAUUAUUCUUCAGAUUUUAAAGGAUGGGUCCACAUGGCUGUGAGGGACCAAUAUGCACAAAGGCCAUUGAGGUUUCUAGGAAUCAACCUGCAGUUCUAGGCCCAUAUGUCGGUGACUAACAUUUUGCGCAAAAGCCCCUGGUUUCUCGGGAAAUAGAUCCCGCAGCCCCCCCUAGUUUUAGGUUUGAAUGCAAAACGAUGCUUGAGUUUUAGUUUAUUUACAGUUUAUUACUGGUCCUACUUGUAAGUGACUGUUCCAGUUGUUACUACAUCCCUGGGGGUCUUUAAAUUUCAAAAGCCAUGCCCUUGCUCUAGACAGAGCAGAGCAGCAGCAUAGCCGCGAGCUUCACAGCAUCACCAGCGGCGAACAGCGGCGAUUCAGCUUAGGCUCCCAAAACAAAAAGUGUAGAGAACAACUGUGCGAACCUAUUGGUGGCUUUCUGGCAAGAUUUGGUGCUCUAUAGCGGCUGUUAGGGUGUUAGAGGCGGUGGCUAAGCUCGGCUUGCACAUGCAUGUGGGUUUUGAGGCUCGAUAAUCGUGCAUGCAUAUGAUAAGGACUCUAGGGACUACUAGGAGGCUCACCAAGAAUCAAACACGGCUCGGCGAAGUCUUGGCGACGGUGUACUGGUUCGGCGACGGCGCGACUGCUAUGGUCGUCGUCGACGAUGUACUCCCGGGCUUCUACUGCAUAGAGAGGGUGCAUGCUUCGGUUUAGUUCAGCACAAGGUAGUUCCAGGCGAAAAAGAUUGCGCCGAAGCUCACCAGAGAAGGAGAAAGAAAGGAAUAGCGUCGGCGGCCAAAGUUGGGAAAAAAAGAAGUGGAUCUCCCACCGUGGUCCACCUCGCGUUGAUGAAGCUCGUGGCGAAGUGGCUCAGCUUGUCACGAACCGUGGAAGCUGGGCGACGAGCAAAGGCGAAGCAGCGGCGUCCAGAGCGCGACAGUGUUCCGAGUUGACGCGGUCGCGUUCCCGGAGAUUGGCUGCACUAAAUGAGGCGUUCUUGGUGGCGUUAGAGACGGCAUUGAGAGGGAAUUAUAGAACGCAUAUUGAACGGAAAUGGAGCUCACCGGAUUUGCGACGGCGUCGAGGACUUCUCUCGCCGGCGCCGGAGUUGGCACCCCCGUUCCCGGCGAAUCCGAGGCUUGGUACCUCGGUUCUUCCGCGAAAUGAGACAAGGGCGAGAGAGAGUGAGAGUUGGUCGGCCGGUCGGGUUAAGUACGGUCGCCGGCGGAGAUGGGGAGGAGGAGCUCGCCCUCUUCCGCGCUCAACGCGUGCUCACACGCGUGGCGCGCGGGUUCUGAGCCGUGGGCCCGUGUGGAGAGGGAUGUGAGGCUGACAAUGGGGUCCCACUAGGCAAGAGAGAGGUGUAGAAGGAGGAAGUGAUGGACAGGGCUGAAGCUAGCCUAAGGCACUGACAAGUGGGGCCAACUCGAUGGAAACUAGGCUAGGGAGAGAGAUAUGGGUAGAAGACUGGUAAACUUGAUUUUUAGAUUAAUUUUCGGAAUUAUUUUCUCCUCUAACUUUGUAACUACAUAAUUCAAUGUGUGGACCAAAUUAAUUAGUGUUGAUUUUACUGGAGGUAAAUGAUUACACCUAGAUUCCAUUUUCUUUGGUUGCACUAAAAAAUAAUGGGUGGACUGCUCACAGAAAUUAAACAAAGAUGGGCUAUUAGAAAGCUAGAUUGAAUUUUUAGGAGGCAUAAACAGAGAAGGAAAAUUCUAGAAAAAUUACAUUUACUCAUGAUAACUAAUCUAGUAUUUGAAUAAAUUAUUUCCCAUGUUCACUUAUGUGCAGUUAAAUGUACUUUUGGAUGAAAUAUGGUUUUAACCGAUUAAAUUUAAUUUGAUUUCUUUUAGUUGUCUGCCUCGACCGAUUAAUUUGAGAUAUCAACUUGAGUGUUAACAUGUUACCAAAUUACAGAGGAUAAGUUUGUGCUAAUCACUGUCCACAUAAAUUUUUCUAUGAUUUUAUCUUGCACAAAAUAUUUUAGAGAAUUAGGAUGACCUUUGUUUGUAUAUGUGUUCCCACUUCAUAAUUGCAUCUAAUAUUAUUAUAGGGAUUACAUUAAACUUCUUUUAGACUGAGAAGAUGAUAUUUGAGUUUAAUAUUAAGUCCACAUGUUAUCACCCAAGAUUAACUAUAAGUUUGUUUAGAGAAAUAAUUCUUUUAGAUUAUGCUCAUGGGACCUAUUAUGGAAUGCAAGACCAAAACUCCAAAUGCACAAAGAACUCGAGCCUAGGCAUGCAUUAUGUACAUGUAUGCUUGGUGACAUUUCUAGUCUAAUGUUGGGAAUGAAAAGAUUUUAUUCUGUUCUCAAAUUAUAAUCAUGCAAUGGUUUAAGUUGGUCAUCACCUAAAUUAAAACGGAAAUUUUUUGCUCUCAAAAUUGGAGAAGUUAACCUCUAACUAUUUUGACAAGAAAUUUUAAGUCCUAAAAUUUCAGGUACGUUAUAGGCAAUUACCUUUGGGAAGGUAAUUGAGAUGCGGCAUGUGGAGACAUAAGCGCCAUAUUGCCAUGAUAAUGAUGACAUGAUUUGUGAAAUUAGGAAAGGAACUAAACACUUGUUUUAGACCGGGGCGGACGGUAGAUUUGGGUGGUAUCCGGGAAAGGCUAGUAUCGUCCCCGGUCAAUUAAGGACCGAGCCAUGAAGUUAAGCAUGAAACGACCCCGUACAAUCACACUUCUCGAAUGGGGAUAGACCUAGCGGAGUAAAUAGCCGAGCGGAGGCAGUAUCCAUGCAUAGUGGUUUCUCGAUGUGUAAGGCAGGGGCUCUACAAUGGUGUCGCCAUUGUUAGGACUGCCAUGUGAUGAGUUGAACAUAAUUAUAACUUAAUACAUGUGUGUGAAUUUUCCCUCCCCGGGUGCGCUAGAACUCCUCUCACUGCUAGAAACUGUGUACGCCUAGAGCGCAUGAGGAUGAAAAGUUCAUGGAGCGGGUACUGCCAAUGCGAGGUUAUCGAAAAGCUUUGCCGUGACGCGUCUCAUGUGUUGAGACAAGGCUCAUGUGUUGGGCAGUCGCAGAGUGUGGGUAAAGUGUACAUCCACUGCAGUGUGAGUAAACCAAAUCUAUUCGAAUAGCCGUGCUUGCGGUUAUUGAGCAUCGGGACAUGUAUUACACUUGGCUAGACUUUAAAUUCUUAACUUGUGUGGGAUGGGUUAUUGCAUGAUGAAUUUUUAUGGUGGACGUCCUCAGAAAACCAUGACGACUCAAUGGCGGGAAGCUAUCCUUGGGAUCACAAUGGAUGGUGGACAGAACCGUCGUUGUUUAAAUACAAACACUGGUACUAAAAUUUGAUCAGUCAAUGCUAGGUCUUAGGCUUGUGAAAAGAAUUACAAAAUUUGCUUUGCGCAAAAGAACCAUAGCCAUCCUUUGAAAUACCCCUAUCAUAUGCAUUGUUGAUGUGGUGGCUUGCUGAGUACGGUUGGUACUCACCCUUGCAAAUAUAAACUUAAUCAGAGGCGGGACUUGAAGCUUCGGAGGAUCCCUAUGCCUAUUACCAGGAGGGUGAUGAAGACGAUGGCGCUCAGUAGGACUUAGUACGGUCGUUGCCUGUGGCAUUGGCGUGCCGCUGUCUUAUUUCCGCUGCUUUAUCUAUUUCUGCUUUUGGGAUGUAUUCCGGACCGCCCGGUCCGAUGAUUUAAGAUAAUGCCUGCGGGCUUAUGUUGUAAUAAUUCGCACUAGACUCUCGUGUAUGUGCAUUUGGUAUUUCAGCUAUGAACUCGUGUGUACCAGACUACUUGAUCCAGGGAAAUGGUACUGUUUACACGAUUGAUUCCUGUUAUAAAAAUGGGGGUCCACAUCACUGGAGUUGGAGCUGUUGCAACGCGGGCUAUAGGAAUGCUUCGGGAUGCAUGGAUGACAAUUCGCUGAGGAGCAAGCUUCUGAUUGUGGGGAGUUGCGUGGACUGACGUGCUGGUAGCUAUGUUUCUCGGUUUUGGGCACUUGUCAGUGAAAUGACACAUUUCUUGACAAUUGAAGCAACAGAUAUCUUUCCGGACUCAGUAUUUUCUUUUCUCAUUUUGAUUCCUCUGUCCUGGCACUGGAGUUAGGCUGAAACUGUAAUCUUGGCGAGGAUUGGUGUUGCCUUGAUGCUUCUCUCCAUUAGAACGGGCAUGUUGGUUGGCCAUCUUCUUCGUCAGCAGAAAACUGAGUUGACAAUCUUUUGGUACAUGAUCAGUUCCUUCACACAAGAAACAAGUGAUCCUGCUCAUGGGGCACUCGCCGGGUGGAUGGUCUUCCUUACAAUGAAAGCAGGUAGUGGCACAUGAGCUGGCAACAUGACCGAUUUCUCCACAAUGAGAGCAUGCCUUAUGUUCCAUUUUAUUCUGGUUGAACCCUUGGGGAGACUUCUCAUCUUCAUCAUCUGAGGAGACUUGAUCUGAAUCUUCACUAUCAGACACUCUACCUCCAUUAGCUAAAAGAUGCUCUGUCAACUAUGGUGCACCUCGGAAGGAAUUUCUUCUCUGACGUUUUGUCAUUCCUGGUGGAGGCCAUUCUGUACUGGUAAUGAUCAUCUUACGGACUUCAUCUUCGGUUCGCAUUGGUGCUUUUCUUUUCUGCUGAGGACAGUUCCUUGCAUAGUGCCCUUGUUCAUCACACAUAAAACCAAUGAUACUUGCUUCUUUUGAGUCAACAUGUGACAUGGCAUGAGGGGCCUUCUGGGAUGUUGGCGGUGCGCUGACUUGUGGUGUGAGUGCUUGGAUUGCCUCCAACUGCGCCUGAGGUUGCAUCUGACUCGGGUUCAGAAUUGGCAUCCGAUGCUGCUGUAGUAUCUCUAUAAGCAAUUUGUUCUGGUUAAUCAAGUGUUGGACCACUGCCACACAAUUGGUGUCUGGUGCUUCAUUCACUCGGGAGCUUGAGGUACCCAUUUCCUGACUUCUGACCUUAUUGCCUUUCUCAUUAUCCGCCAUCUGUUGCAGGUUUUGGAGAGGGAGAGAGGAAAAACAAAGGGGAGAGACAGAUCAGAAACUAAGGAUAGGACCUUAACAGAGCUACACUUUUUCUGUUGUGAUGUAUGUUAGGCUUAUUCUGCAAGUUGAUUACGCAAACAACCUAGCAUGGUUACAUCACACCCCACUGAUGCAAACCACGCGCUACACACAAGAGCAAGGAAACACACGACUAACGAAACCCUAGAGGUGGCUUAGGUUCUGCGACGGGUUCUCCAAGAUCUUCACUCCUGCUUCACAUCUGGCUUCACUGCUUCCCUCGCUUCGCUAGCAGAUCCAACAGUCUUGCGGAGCUUCGGCAGACAAUUGACGACAUCUUCUUCUUCGCAAAGCUGACCACCUAGUACUAGUUGAAAUUCGAAGGAGGAAGAAGGGAGUAAACCUUUUGCAAAUAGCAUUAGGCAAAGGAGAAAAAAAAGGAACUUUCGCAAAUAGUUUUAUUUAUAAAAUAUGUCCUUAGGUUUUAUCCACUUGGCUUAACCUACAGUCAACCAGGCUCUGAUACCAGCUUGUCGCGCCCGGAAAAAUACCUUUUUCCAGAACGCUAGUGUAUUAAUCCCCGUCCCAGGAAAAGCCGGGGUACACCACACAAACAUGAUAUAAAAGACACAUCUUUAUUAUAUCGCUAAUAUUUACAUUAUUACAAAGGCACUUCAGGCCUGACAAUCAAAAAUAAAUAGCAGCGGACUAGCGGGCCUACGGCUCCAUCUUCACAGGCGCUCAACUGAGGUAUAAGCUAGGACUCCACAAAAGACUUCUCCCAAGCUUCUCUUACUGAAGGGGGAAAGAUAGAGCAAGAAUGAGUACAACCACAGUACUCAGCAAGUCACACCGGUAGAUGCAUGAUUAAUGCAAGAGGGUACAAGGGGUAAUAAUAAUAGGGUUGGGUCUUGCAGUAAAGAGCGUUUAAAAGACACUUAGUUGCUCAAAGCUAUUUUGUAAACAUGAUCCUAGAGCUACACAAUAUUAUUAAUCAAGGCCGUGAACCCUCACGAACCUGCCUUAACCCAAGGCCUACGAUGAUUCGGACCGAACUGGCAACCCGACCUGGGUCCCAGCUCGUCCCAAGCCAACCCAGGCCAACCAUUCCAUAUUUUAGUUGUUAAGCAAAUUUUAAGAAUUAAACCACUAACUUGGGUACAUUGCUAGGCUUGCCCAUAUCCGAGGGCACGGCUAUGUGAAUAGAUUACACUCUGAUCAGAGGUGCACAUCUUUACCCACAAGACACGCCUUUACUCUGCAUUCCAUUGCAAUUGGAACCCAUCAUAAAAAACGUGACAUAACCCUUUACCCAUCCUAGCCGUGAACAAAAGUACCGAUCCAACCCUGCCUACGGCCGGUAUCCCGGGACAGGCAGGCCAGGAUUGAGCCCCUAGCAAUAGGAUCUAGACCGGGUGCGCCACACGCAUAGGGGUGAGACCACCCGUGUACUAGUCCAGUGCCAUGGCAUCUCGACUAGCGGGCACCGACCCGUGUAGCCUUCAUUUGCCUAGACAUCUCGAUUACCGAGCCACAGCUCGCGUAGCCUUCAUUUGCCUCAGAGAUAUCCAUCGUCGCAACGACUUCAUCCAUCUCUAUCCGUGUCCUUUUGUUCAGGACUAGACUGAGCACCGAGUUAAGCCUUACCCAUUAGACAUACGGUUAGUACGGUAGUGCUUUGCAACAGAGGCCCGAGCUUAAUCCUUAUAUUGGCCGGGGUGCUACUUCCCACAACUGGCAUGCACCCAAACCCCACCGGAAAACAGGUUUUAGGGGUUUUGAAAGAGGAAGAGACGGGUAUGUCCAAUUCCACCAUAAGCCAACCAUUUCAUAGUAUCCAAGUGAUAUGAGAAUUCCCAAAGUCUAAAGUUAUAAAACCACCUAAUAUUGCCUAAUUAAUCAGCGAAGCAUCUACCUAAAUUCAUACUAGUGGAACUAUAAAUAGAGUACCCACUAGUUGGGUUUUAUUUGCCUAGGGUACGCAAGGUGAUAAUAACAAUUGCAAUAAUAAGGCUAUAACAAGGAUUAAUAGGUAAUGCUAAAUAAAACAGUGGUAACACGGAAAUUUGAAUAAAGUAGUAAUGCAAUAAUUCAAAUCAAAAUAAUUUUAUAAACUAGGAUUCAAUGUGCUCAAGGAUGAUGCGACUUGCCUUGCUCAGAGAGAACGGCCUUCCGAACCUUCGGCGACGACCGUGAACCACGCUUCGGGAACCUCCGGAACGACAGGAGCUACGCGAAGCACACAAGCAGAGCUAAACCCUAUAAAGAAGCAAUAACAAUACAUAAAAAGAAAGCACAGGGUUCUUUAGGUUAUAACAAACAUUAGGAGACUUGAACGGGUCAAUUCAGAGUUCGUAUGACCAAUGUAUGGUCAUCCGAAGUUUAAUGCUGUUAUAUGGAGAUUUGCGGAUUAUUAUAAUUAGGUUUUGCAACUACAAAACAUGUGUAAGCGCUAGCCUAGAAAAGACAGGAAGGCUGCGCCGUUGACAUGCAGACUCCACAUGUCAACCUAAAGGACCACGGUAGACCGAGUACACAGAGACGGUCCACGGGUCGACGGAAGCGGACCCCGUGUGCCAACCGAGGCGAGUGGCCGACAAGCAGACUCCACUAGACACCACGCGGGCUGCACACAUGGAAACAACGCGGCUACCGAGCGGCUCACUAACACGAUCACCACACGCACACACGAACGACUACCUACACCGGUACAAGGGUACCGGGGUCGACAAACGCACGACGGGUACGGGGCGACACCGAAAGGACGAGGACGGGAGCAGCGAGAAGGGGGACCUUACCACCACGCGACGAGGCGUGGGAACGACAACGACGAACGAGCGCGGCGGAGACGGCUCGGGGACGACGGAGGCAAACGGCGAGGGAAUGACUUCGGCGGUGAUCCUUGCACGAAGGCGAGACGUGGCCGGCGCAACGCUUGACGACGCGGAGGCGAGGACGAAGACGACGACGGGGCUGCGGCACUUGACGGAGCGAGGACGACAAACGAGAACGGCUUGACGGAGGGACGAACGCCACGACGACCGGGAACGACGAGAGGACGACAACGACGAUGACCAGGGCCGGCGAGGAGACGGCGAUGGCAGCCGGCAGCAGCUGCACAGAUGCGAGGACGGCGUGGAACAUGCCGCUGUGAUGAUGACGAUGGUGGUGGCGCAGCGAGACGAUGUGCCGGGCGACCGACAGGACGUCGACGUCGAGGACGAACGGUGACGACGACGACGGACAGCGGAGGGGUUCGGAUGGAGGGAAGGCGAUGCCGAGGACGUCGUCGCCGGCUCGCCGCUGCGAUGCCGGAGGAGACGGCGACGUCGGCCGGCGCACGGGAACGGUGGAAGGGGUUGCCGAAAGAACUCCGGCGAGGCGGAGGGCGAGACCGGAGCGGGCGACGGCGUUCCGGCGAAACCGAGGGUAGGCCGGGGUGGAGGGCGACGCGGCGAUGUCGAGGGAGGAUGGCGACGACGACAGUCGCUACACCGGCGAGGCGGCACAGGCGGCUGGAGGCGGUGGAGUGGUGGCGACACCACUGGUCGUCGACGAGGACGUGGCUCCGAUAAUUUCCCCGCGAAACGGAGGCGACGCCGGGGAAGAGGAGGCGGCUACGAGGCCGCUGGGGGUGACGGCACGACCGGACGGCACUCCGGCGAGGAGGGAGAGGCGGCUGGAGGCGACCGGCGGCACGGGAGAAAGAGGAGGACGGCGGGGAGAGGUGGUGAGGCCACGGGAUCGAACGCGGGAGGGGGCUAAAACUGGAGAACGGAUCGAGGGGGUUCCAUUUUAUAGGGGAGGAGAGGGAGCUGGCCAAGGGAGAGGCGGGGAACGGUGGCGAAAUUCGUGGCCGGCGGCCGUGGAAUGUGGCCGGGGUUGGCGCGGGCGUUCCCGACGAUUGGGGUCACGAAUCAAGGGGGAAAUAUGGGGGAAAGACAGAGGAAUCAAUAGGGAUUAAAACCCCCUAAUCAAUUUUGGAAACCCUGGUUUGAAUCGCGUGGAUUUUGGGGAGGUUUGGCGCUAGGGUUUGCACAGGAGAGAGAGAGGAAGGAGGCCGGGCGGGAGGAGGACGACGACUCGGCGCGUGGGACCCACGCGGUCGCGCGAUCAGCGCGCGUGAGGGGGGGUGGGCGGCUUGGGAGGCUGGGGCGGCUGGGUGGGGUGGCUUGGGCCGGGAGGCGGCCCAGGCGGGAAGGGAGGAAAAGAGAGCUGGGCCGAGGGGAAAGGGGAGGCCCAAGAGAAGGAGGGGGAGAAGGAGAGGGAGAGAAAGAGAGGGAGGAAGAGAGGACUUUGGCCGCGGGCCGAGAGAGAGAGAGAGGAAGGACUUUGGGCCAGACUUGGCCCAAAGGAGGAAGGAGGAUUAUUUUUAGGUUUUUCUUUUUAAUAAACUUUGAUAAUUGUUUUUGUUGCUUAAUAAAUAUUUCCUGUGCUCUGAAAAUUCAAGUAAAAUUUGAGGGCUCAUUUUAGACCAAGGAGAAUUUAACAAAAAUUCUCCGGGCCACAUUCGAAUUUUUCUUAUACGUAUUUUAGUGUUUGCCAAUUUCUUUUCGAAUUUUAAUUAAUUCUAUUAUUUCUUUUAGAAAAUGAUUUUUAUUUCGAGAUGAAUUUAUCAGGACGUGACAAAUCCACCCCCCUUACAGGAAUCUCGUCCCCGAGAUUCGAGGAGGCUAGCAAGAAGAUAGGUUGGGUGGUCUUCUCUUCUUGUCUGACUUCUUCCGCUCCGUGUUCUAUAAUAAACUUGCCUAACAAAACUUCUCCACUCUAGACUGCUUGGCUCGAUCUCCUGUUCCAGAUGGAAUCUUCUCUUCACCUGACUUUUCCAUGGUUGCACCUCUAGCUGACUUCGACUGGGUUGUGGCACUUGAAGAUGGGACUUCAGUUCCAGAACUUCUCAUAAUUCAUAUCUUUGGCGUCAACCUCAUACAAGUUACCCACUUCAUGUUAUGCGCCGAUAUCAGCUUGUCAUUACUAGGAUACCAUGCUUACCAUCGUGAGAAUACCACGCUUGGCGUUUCCUUCCAGCUUACCACCCUAUGCUUUAGACUAUGAUAUCCCGCUUACUAAGAAUACCAUGAUUGACAACUUGCCACAAACUGUCUCAUAUUAGCUUUCCUGGUCUCCGGUGCUAGAUAUUUCCUCUAUUCAAUGCGAGGGUCGAUAAUUUUGCCUUUGAAUUAUGUUUCCCAAGGGAACCAACUUAUCCCACUUGACAUGCUUUGACGUCUUCCCAAAUGACUUUACUGCUGAACUUAUUAUUGUCUGAUCGUUAUCCUGCCAAAUCUGAAGCUUCGUUGUUGGAUGUGAUUUUAAUCUGACCUCUGUAGAUUUUCCUUGAACAUAUCACUUGUUUCAUAACUGGGAAUGGCUCUCAUGAACAAGCAACUCAGAUUCACUUUCUUUACAUUCGGUUUACUUUCCAGUAUUCUCUUCGUGUUGUCAUCAUUUAGCAUUCAACGUAUUCCUUUACACCUUCAGCCUUGAUGUGUUCUUUCCCGAUGGAUCGAUUGCUAGGAAAGUGCGUUGAACGAUACUAGUGCAGGUGCUUUUAUUCUAGCAGCAUCUGAUGCAGAGCCCAAGGUUGAACCGAGCUUUAGAUUCCAACUGUGCGGGUUUUCUUGUUGACUUCUUGGUCAUGUCACGAAAGUUUCCAUCCUUGUCCUCAUAGAAUCACUUCUACCUGUGGUCAUCUCGCUUACUCGCGAAUUCAUCUGCUUUGAUGACAGGGUGGCUAUUGUAGGGUCAAUUGCUAUCGGGAGUCUUCCUCGAGUGACACAAAUCAUGGUUCUCGUUAUCCUUUAUCAAUCACCUUUCGACCUACUUCUUUUCCCUGUAACCAAACAUCUUUUCCGAUCUCUUCCAUUAAUCACCUUUCGACCUUUCUCAACCAGGUACUCUUCACUCCGGGUGUUGAGGAUGCUUCUGGGGCAAUGAGGUCCUUGGGCAUGCUGUCUUUCAGAGAAACUUUGAAGUAGUUUGUCAAAAGCUAGACUGACGAUUGUUGCCUUUGAUCCGAAGAAGACACGUCUGAAACUCUUAGUCCAAACAAAUGUCUCUUUGGUUGAUCAGUUGAUUUUCUUUUCUAUCUACAACUAGGUUAUUUGAUUCAUAAUAGAGUAGGAGCUCACGGAAAUGAGACUCUAGGUCUCCUUAAUCAACAACAAAACGUACACAACUCACAGCACUUGCAAUCUUAACAUGGAUCCUUCAUAAACUUGUCAAACUCAUGUUUUACCUCUUGUUGAAGAUCGAAACCGAUGCAACUCAACCCGAAAGCGUCGUCAAGCGUUGCGCCGGCAGCAUGUCACGACUCAAGUUCUCCCUGAGCAUUUGGUUCAUAAUGUGCAGCCAGAUCAAUCGGUGAUACCCCAAGUUAUUCCUUAGCAUUUGGUGCGCAACAUACAGCCAAACUUUCAGAAUUAUCAGGGGGGCAAUUUGAAUUACCAAUAUCAGCCUUCGUCGCAACAGGUUCAGUAUCAGCAAGGAGGAUCAGCUCAGCCUCAGUUUGCUCCUCAGUACAAUCAAUUUGAGCCUAUACCUCAACAAGCACAAGGGGUGCCUCAGCAGAGACCUUGGGCCGAUAUGUUUGCAGAUGUGAUGAGAGAGCAGUUUGGGCUUAAGCCAAAGGAUACUCGAAACUUGUAUCGGCAUCCGUACCCUGAGUGGUUCGAGACGGUUCAAUUGCCUAACCGAUACAAAGUUCCAGAUUUUUCAAAAUUCUCAAGGCAAGACAGUGUUUCAACCUAUGAACGUGUCAGCCGAUUCUUAGCUCAGUGUGGUGAGGCAUCGGCUGUUGACGCUUUGAGGGUCAGGUUGUUUCCUUUGUCUUUAUCCGGAUUGGCUUUUACUAGGUUUUCUUCUUUGCCAUACAAUUCAAUUAACAGUUGGGCCGAUUUGGAGAACAAUUUCAUAGUUACUUCUGUAGUGGGGUUCAUGAGAUGAAAUUGUCCGAUCUAAGAGCAAUUAGACAAAGGCAUGAUGAACCUGUGCAAGAUUAUAUUCAGAGAAUCAGAGAGAUGAGGAAUAUGUGCUACAGUUUGAGUCUGACUGAUGCCCAGUUAGCUGAUUUGGCUUUUCAGGGUUUGAUAGCUCCAAUCAAGGAGAAAUUCUAGUCUCAGGAGUUUGAUAGUCUAUCACAUCUUGCAUAGAAGGUAACCCUACAUGAAUAAAGGUUUGCAGAAGCCAAGAAGAACUUCAAAAAGAUCAAUCAUGUCUAUCCUUACAUGUAUGGAUCCGAUGAUGAUGAUGAUGAUUCCGAGGUAGCAACAGCCGAGUGGGUCAGAAGCAAGAAGGUUAUACCAUGCCAAUGGGUAAAUAGUUCUGGAAAAGAGGAGAGGUAUGACUUUUGACAUCACCAAGGCUGAUAAGAUUUUCGAUCUGUUACUUCGGGAGAAGCAGAUUCAACUUCUUGCUGGUCACACAAUCCCAUCGGCUGAGGAAUUGGGCAAGAGAAGGUAUUGCAAGUGGCAUAACUCUGGGUCUCAUUCUACUAAUGAUUGCAAAAUAUUCAGAUAGCAGAUUCAGGCAGCUAUUGAGGGAGGAAAAAUCAAGUUUGAUGAUUCCAAGAAGCCGAUGAAGGUCAAUGGCAAUCCUUUUCCUGUCAAUAUGGUACAUACAGCUGGCCGAACAGCCGAUGGAGGAAAAACUCGAGGUUUUCAGAUGAAUUCGGCUAGAAUUAUUAAUAAGUAUCAGAGGAAGUAUGAUAAGCAGCAACAGGAGAGGUAUUAUGUAACAUACCGAAAAUUAACCGUUUUCUAAUUGUGCAUCAUGCCGAGUCUUAUAUUUUUAAUAGCAUCCUAAACCUAGGAAAAUAUAAUUAGAGGGACCUUCUAAAACUAACUUGCAUAAAAUCCUUCUCUGGUAUUUUAUUUCUUUUGUAUUUUUCAUUUAAAAAUAUAUUUGGUUAAAUUGAGGUAUUUCUUGAUUUGGUUUUAAUUUAAAACCUUCUUUCGACUAAAACUCUUUUAUUCAAAUUUAGUUUGAAAAACCCCUUUCUAUUUUUAUGGAUUAUGGUCCAAGAAACCUUCCCAAUUUUGCCAUUGAACCUAAACCAAAGUAAUUCCAAUUUUAGUGGGAUUAUUUGUUAGCCCAUCCUUUGAUCUUAAACAUAUCCUUUGAUUCUUGAUCCAAAUUCUUCCUUUUGAUCUAGCUGCUGAUCUAAUUCCUGUGGCUUGAUUUCCUUCUCGGCACAAGAAUAAUAUUACUACAAACAUUGUGAAUAAUUGUUCUUGUGCUAAGAUAAUAGAUUAUAUCCUUGUCAUCCAAAUCUCCUAUUAGCCUCAAACAAUUCUUUGAAACCCAUGCCAUAUAUUUUGAGGCUAAAAAUCCUAUCUAUCUUCCUCCAUUUAUUUUCUCUCCCUCUCAUUUGAGUGCAUCAAAUAAAUUCCGUUAUAUUCUAUCUCUCAAAAUAUUGCACUCAAACUAGAAAAUAUCUCUUUUGGAAAUUAUAUCCAAAUAUAAUUUCCUUUCAAAAUUCCCUAUUCAAAUUCCUUCCAAAUUCUAAUCUCAUCCAAUUUCUAUCAUACAAACAACCUACAAAAUUUAGAAUUGAUUUUUAAAUUUAAUUGGGCUAAAAUCCCUUUGUCUCUUCCUUUUGGCCCAUCUUCCUCUUCGGCCCAGCCCAGCCGAGCCGCCCCUUCCUCCUCCCGUGGGCGCUUCCAGGCGCCGCCAUGCGCCGCUACUGCCGCCGUGCACAACUCAGCUACCGCCGCUGCCAUAUUGCCUUCGAUGCCAAGCAAUCGCCGCCAACGUCCUGCCGUCGCCGCUAAGGCAUCGCCGCCGACGUCAUCUGCCACCUCACGCCGCCGACGUCAGCCUCUGGAGCAAACCGACAUCUCCAACCAAUCACAAGCCACAGCCGGCGCCGUCGCCUUCCUUCUCCACGUCGCCGCCACCAAGACCAACUCUAUCUUCUCCUCUACAACCGACCUUCACAACCGACGUCCGACGCCUAUAAAUAGAAGGCCAGCCCUCCCCUUUUCUCCACAUAUGAGCCGAGCUCCUCGAGCUCUCUCUCUCUCUCCUGUUAUGUCUAGCCACCACCGGCCACUGUCGAUCUCCCUCACCGGAGUGUUUCUGGCCAAUCCCUUGCGCCAUCAGGUUUGCCUCGACGAGGCAAACUCAUUUUCCUAGUUUCCCCUUCCUUUCCUCUUCCGAAACCAACCAUCACAGCCACCUCCUCUUGUUGCCGGAGCAAGCUCUUGCCUGCGCCGUUCCAGCCUCCUCUCUCACUUCCUCUGCCGACUGUCACCCUCCCCGGGUGCGCGUCGCUCGGGAACAUGUUUUUCCGCCAACGUCGCAGCCUCUCAACCACCGGAGUAUCGAUGCCCCUCCUCUCCCUUCUCUCUGUUUGUUCGUGGAGAAAGAGAGAAGAAGCAGGAAGAAGGAAGAAGAAGGAAGAAGAAAGAGAGAAGAAAAAGAAAAAGGACAGCUACUGACAGGUGGGCCCCUACAGUACUAUUUCACAUUUUCUAGAUUUGAUUCAAAAUCCAAACUUUAGAAGCCCAUAUCUCCUAAACCGUAGAUCCGAUUCCAGUCAAACUUGGACCUAAAUUCAUCUAAAUUCAAACCCUACCUUUUGAUACCAAAUUUGCUAUUUAAAUAUUUUAUUUGAAUUUCCUUGAUUUAUUUAAAUGCCAUUUGCCUUUCAAAUAUCUCCUGUUACUCCAAAAUACCCGUUAGCCAGUAAAAAGCCGCCGAUUGGAACUUUACGCCUUCUAUGGAGACGUUCGUGGUCUAUUGGCCCCGACAUGGAACCAUUGGUUGUAAAGCCCGGCAUAAACCAAACCCAAGGUCGAAGUGCUGCUCCUGGCACCCCACGCCUUGAUGCAUAUAGCGGUCGGAGCUUCACUAUUCUAUCGACCUCCACAGCACGCCACACAGUUAGCUCUCGGGCUCUGUGUGAUCCUAGCCGCUCCGCCGCCACCCACGGUUGUCGGAGUAACACUUCCGCCCCACUAAAUUAACCUGCACCUACCUCAUAUCCCUCUAGCCGUUAUACUGUCCGUCAACACCGACUAGAGAAGACACCAAAUCUAGUCGUUAUACUAUUCAACACUAGCAUCGACUAGUACACAACCAAACCCUAGCUGACACCUUACUAGUUAAAUCCCAGCCGUCAUCCAAAUUCCACACCCACCAGUAUCACCUAUCCACCAUACUCUCAGCCACCUACUCUCCAACUACCUAGAACCUAUACAUAAAAUAUAGAGCCUAGCCGAUAUGUUGUCCUAUCCCCAAUUGGCUUAAAUAUAAGCGACAUUUGUUGCUUGAUCCCCUUUCUAUCUUAGCCUCCAACCCUUUAGAACCCAUACAUGAAAUAUUAGCCAAUAAUCCCUAUAUCUUACAAAGGAGAUAUUUAUACCCCAAACCCAGCCUUUCUUGCCCUUCAUCGCUUUCUUGUUAUUUUGUGACUUUUAUUGAAUUUGGUUCUUUCUCUUCUUUAGUAGAGUCUAUUUUGGAUGGCAGCCUGUGAUAUUUCGAGGAUCGAAUAAUCAGGUUGCCUAUCUUGGAUUUAUUUGCGUUGGAGCAAGGCAAGUUAUUAUUCCUCCCCUUUGAGCAUAAUAAUCCUAUAUUCUAUAUCUCCAGUAUCUUGUGCAUUAGCCUUACAUGAUUUUGAAUGCAUAACUUGAACAUAUAGCAAACCAGAUAUAUGCUAGAUUUUGCUUAGCCAUGCCUAGUUAGAUUGCAUAAAAUAUAAUAAACUUAGAUUGGAACAAUACGGAAGAAAUGGUUGAUUUCCGGGUGGCUAGUACUGUUCCAACCGACAUAAAAUUGCCAAGUACAUGUGAAGAACAUACGAGUACGACCGCAAUUCUCGUAUGGGCAUAGACCUAGCUGAUUAAGUUAUCUAGCAAAGGUGGUACCUCUGUAUUGUGGUUCUUCUUAAGUCCUCGUGCAGGAGGCAAACUUACGCCGAGCAGGGCGAUUGUAAUAUUUACCGAGGCGCAGGUAAAUAUUUGAGAUAAAUUGUGAUAUCACAAACUGUGUGUAUUGUGAAAACCUUGUUGAGAUGACGGGGGUCUCUCAACUAGUUCUCUCCAAAAACCUCGGGAACGCCAG